rnacentral:rRNA from 1 species
UACGUAGGGGGCAAGCGUUGUUCGGAAUUACUGGGCGUAAAGGGCUCGCAGGCGGCCAACUAAGUCAGACGUGAAAUCCCUCGGCUUAACCGGGGAACUGCAUCUGAUACUGGAUGGCUUGAGUUCGGGAGAGGGAUGCGGAAUUCCAGGUGUAGCGGUGAAAUGCGUAGAUAUCUGGAGGAACACCGGUGGCGAAGGCGGCAUCCUGGACCGACACUGACGCUGAGGAGCGAAAGCCAGGGGAGCAAACGGG